AGAGUUUGAUCCUGGCUCAGAACGAACGCUGGCGGCGUGCUUAACACAUGCAAGUCGAACGCGAAAGGUUCUUUCGGGAACUGAGUAGAGUGGCGCACGGGUGAGUAACGCCUAAGUAAUCUACCCCUGUAUUCGGAAUACCCCACCGAAAGGUGAGCUAAUACCGGAUACGUUUAUCUUGAUGCGAAUGAUGAUAAAGAAAGGGGAGGCCUCUGCAUAUGCUUCCGUACCAGGAUGAGCUUGCGUACCAUUAGCUAGUUGGUAGGGUAAUGGCCUACCAAGGCGACGAUGGUUAGCGGGUCUGAGAGGAUGAUCCGCCACACUGGAACUGGAACACGGACCAGACUCCUACGGGAGGCAGCAGUGAGGAAUAUUGCGCAAUGGGGGCAACCCUGACGCAGCGACGCCGCGUGGAUGAUGAAGGCCUUUGGGUCGUAAAAUCCUGUCAGAUGGAAAGAAAUGCCACAGGGCUAAUAUCUUUGUGGUUUGACGGUACACGCGAAGGAAGCAACGGCUAACUCCGUGCCAGCAGCCGCGGUAAUACGUAGGUGGCGAACGUUAUCCGGAAUUACUGGGCGUAAAGGGCGCGUAGGUGGUUUAUUAAGUCAAAAGUGAAAACUCCAGGCUCAACUUGGAGACUGCUUCUGAAACUGGUAGACUUGAGUGCAGGAGAGGGAAGUGGAAUUCCUAGUGUAGCGGUGAAAUUCGUAGAUAUUAGGAGGAACACCAGUGGCGAAGGCGGCUUACUGGCUUGUAACUGACACUGAGGCGCGAAAGCGUGGGGAGCGAACAGGAUUAGAUACCCUGGUAGUCCACGCCGUAAACGAUGGGAGCUAGGUGUUGGGCGUCAAAACUCGGUGCCGCGCUAACGCAUUAAGCUGACCGCCUGGGGAGUACGGUCGCAAGAUUAAAACUCAAAGGAAUUGACGGGGGCCCGCACAAGCAGUGGAGCAUGUGGUUUAAUUCGACGCAACGCGAAGAACCUUACCAGGGCUUGACAUCCCGGGAAUCUCCAGGAAACUAGAGAGUGCCUCGUAAGAGGAGCCCGGAGACAGGUGCUGCAUGGCUGUCGUCAGCUCGUGUCGUGAGAUGUUGGGUUAAGUCCCGCAACGAGCGCAACCCUUAUCUUUAGUUGCCAUCAUUCAGUUGGGCACUCUAAGGAGACUGCCGGUGUCAAACCGGAGGAAGGUGGGAUGGUGACGUCAAGUCCUCAUGGCCCUUAUGUCCAGGGCUACACACGUGCUACAAUGGCCGGUGCAAAGGGAUGCGGAAACCGCGAGGUGGAGCCAAUCCCCAAAAAUAUGUCCCAGUUCGGAUUGUAGGCUGCAACUCGACUCCAUGAAGUUGGAAUCGCUAGUAAUCGCGGAUCAGCAUGCCGCGGUGAAUACGUUCCCGGGCCUUGUACACACCGCCCGUCACACCACGGGAGUUGAUUGUACCUGAAAUCGGUGGGCUAACCUUCGGGAGGCAGCCGCUUAUGGUAUGGUCGGUGACUGGGGUGAAGUCGUAACAAGGUAACC
rnacentral:rRNA from 1 species